rnacentral:rRNA from 1 species
UUCCACGCUGUCGGUUCGCCGCCCGUCGGUGUCAACUGGCAUGUCCUGUGGAACGUCCUGCCGGUGGCGGACCGGGCUUUCGGCUUGCGUAAGGGCUUACGCCCGAAGCAGGCCGAACAGUACCGGCCGCCGGUCCAAUCCCGCCACGGUGCUCUUCACCGAGUGUCGAGGUGGGCCGGCACGUUUACUUUGAACAAAUUAGAGUGCUUAAAGCAGGCUGGUGUCCGCCUGAAUACUGUGUGCAUGGAAUAAUAGAAUAGGACCUCGGUUCUAUUUUGUUGGUUUUCGGAACCCGAGGUAAUGAUUAAUAGGGACAGGCGGGGGCAUUCGUAUUGCGACGUUAGAGGUGAAAUUCUUGGAUCGUCGCAAGACGAACCUAAGCGAAAGCAUUUGCCAAGUAUGUUCUCGUUAAUCAAGAACGAAAGUUAGAGGUUCGAAGGCGAUCAGAUACCGCCCUAGUUCUAACCAUAAACGAUGCCAGCCAGCGAUCCGCCGAAGUUCCUCCGAUGACUCGGCGGGCAGCUUCCGGGAAACCAAAGCUUUUGGGUUCCGGGGGAAGUAUGGUUGCAAAGCUGAAACUUAAAGGAAUUGACGGAAGGGCACCACCAGGAGUGGAGCCUGCGGCUUAAUUUGACUCAACACGGGAAACCUCACCAGGCCCGGACACCGGAAGGAUUGACAGAUUGAGAGCUCUUUCUUGAUUCGGUGGGUGGUGGUGCAUGGCCG